AGGAUUGCAGGCCUGUCUUAUUAUCUUGUUUUACUUCAGUCUGCCAGGAUUUCUUUCUGGAACUCCCUGUGGUCCCAGUUGCCGGAUUUCAGAGAUUGCUGUGGGGAAUGCCAUGGAAUAGAACCUGGCCACCUUGAGCUGAGAAAGGUGUUUGUGAUUGAUGGUUGAUGCCACCAAGCAAAGAGGGUUAAAUAACUUAACUGCCUGCCUGCUGCUUUUAAAAAGGCAGCUGACGACCUAAUCUGUUUAGAAUUAGGGGCGAAGCUAAGGAAACUGGCUCAGGCUAUGGUGGAAGAGAGUGAAGAGCGGCUCACGGAGGAGCAGAUUGAAGCUCUUCUCCACACCGUCACCAGCAUUCUGCCUGCAGAGCCAGAGGCUGAGCAGAAGAAGAAGACCAACAGCGAUGUGGCAAUGGACGAAGAAGACCCAGCAUAGAAGAGCACAGCUGGCCCCAGCGUUUCAUGAAGUCAGAAGGCCCGGCAGCCGUUUCCUGGACGUUGAGAGGAUUGUUUAUUUGAUUUUUAUCCUCAUCCUAGCAGGCCUGGCUUCGUGGUUAGUUGGGUACAUCACAAAAAUAAGCUAAAAAGAAAUAUUUGUGCCUUGGGGAGAAGAAACAUGGUGAAGACAGGCUGAGGUUGUCAGGGCAGAGAGCUGAAGGUGGGGACAGUGACUGCGGACCCCUCUGUGCUUGAAAGAUUUCCUCCACGGCCUUUGCCCCAGUUGUGGGAAG
rnacentral:sRNA from 1 species